UUUCUUCCCAUUCAAGAACAAGCCAGGACAAGUGAUUCUGGAAAAGGGGAGGGGACUGGCGAGGGGGAGAGGAUACUUACGCGGUGCAGAGGGCAGUGGGACCGAGCGUGGUUUUGCCGGCAGGGAGAGGAGAACACGCGCGCGCACACACGCGGCGGUGUCUUGCGGGUGAUGAAUGUGAUAAUUGGACCGGGGCCGAUGGCAAACCUUUCCUACAGAAGCUGCCCAUCAGACCAGUGAAACCCGCAGGACAAAAAGUUCUAUUCAAGAAGGGAACAACAAGGAGGAAAAAAAGGUCAACAUUCCCAGGUAAAACUAAAACAAAUGUGUAUCAUCUAUCGUUUGCUUUUACAUGUCUGAAUGGACAACUUCCCCAAAUCUAUGUAAACUACAACGCUUCAUAAAAUUCUGUUCCAGUGAACCAAUGAACACAGGCACGCCCCGACAUAAUUAAAAGCGAACCCAGCCAAAGGCAGCUGUGAGAAGGCAAAGAAAGAUAGGCAGGAAGGUGCUAUCCCUGGCUGUGACUCUGCAGUCGUGUGAGGGGAAGAAAGCCAGAGAAAUGGAAUGGGCUGAACUAGCAGAGAAACAUCGAGAAGGCUGACAAUUUUAGAACCGGAGACGGCUGACUAGCUAAUUACUCAUCCCAAAAAAGGUAUUCGCUGGGACCCUCCGAAAGCUUGAGAUA
rnacentral:lncRNA from 1 species